GUCCUGGUGAAAUAUAACCAGCUCCUUGGUUACACGUAUAUUAACCAGACUAUCAUGGUAGAAAGUGAGAUGAAAUAACCAGGACAUUUUAACCAAUGUGGUUUUAAAACUUGUCACAAUCGCUCAAAAACUUCAACUUCUCGACCCGACUCCCAAAGGAGUAAACCCUAUAAAAUACGAUUUACAACGGUCAUUGUAGAUCACAACAGAAUUAAAUAGCAACAAGGCAGAGAUUGAAAACGAAGUUGGAAAACAAAGAAAAGGCGAAACUUAUGUAACCAAGGUAUGACACAAUCCUUUUUGCUUUUCAAAUCGUAUUUUUACGCCCGUAUUACACUCACACUCACACUCACACUCAAUGAGUGGAGGUUCAAUCUGAGCUUCUCUUGAGUGCCAAUGUUGUUUUUUAAUAGCUGGAGGGUGAGUAGUCACAUAGUGAUAGUAAGGUAUGACACUAGCCCUCAAGCUAUUCAAAAACAGCAACGACACUCGAGAGAAGCUCAGAUUGAACUUCCGCUCAUUGAGUGUGAGUGUGAGUGAGCUUUUAGAAUACGGGCGUUAGUGUACUAAAUGAAACAUUGCUCACCUAUCCUGCAUUGAUAUUGUAUUUCUUUUUGUAGCUUCCAAAAACUGGAUUGUCUAAGGUAAACAAGACAGAAACCGCAUGUAGCCAUGCGGGUUUUAGACCAAUUAUUUUACAUUAUCUUUGAAAUGCCUUUGAAACCAUACAUUAAAACAACUAAUUCAAAAGUAUUUGUCAAAUACACACUGGAAUUGUUUUCAAAAUCGUUAAUAUGGAAAUGGUAUAGAUCAUGGAAAUCCAAUAUUCAUACUAAUUGCCAUUUCAAUUCCACACUAUGAGUUCUGUAUACUAUAUGCUAAUAGUGCAGCCUUGAAGGGUUUUUGUAGAUUGAAAAUUCGAGUUUAAAUUUUGUACAUUUACUGUAUUAAACCUAACCAGGAGCAAUUGUGAAAAAUGCAACUGGAGGGCCUCUCGUAGGAAUCGUACCUGCGAUCCGGGGCAGCGCUCUAACCAACUGAGCUAGGCUGGGAGUCCAGUUGUCGAGCUCUAACCACAAGUUCGUGAAAACAUACUGAGUUUAUAAGGUGAUGCCAUGGUAAGGUAUAUGGGUUAAAAGGUAUAAGGCAAAAAGAGAUUCAGAGAGCCUAUAAUUCCAUUUUUUGCAACUUGUUCAAUCUACAAAAGCCUUUCAACUAUCAGUGCUAUAGAGUAAGACUAUGUUCCAAAUCCCGAUUGUAAUGUACUUGAUGUAAGAACAUUGACACUUUGUUCCCUCUCUGCGACACAACACCGAUAUUUACUCUUAUAGUGUGGACAUAAUGAGUGAUCCAAAUAGGAUUCCCAUAGUAUUGGUUACAUUGCUUUGUCCAAUGAUAGGUUUUUCAAAUGAAGUCAGUUGGCUUGGUUUACUUCAUUUUAAGCUACAGAGUCUUAAUGAUUUUUUAGGAUAGAUUACUUAUGCAUAUCAACGUUUAUCAAAAGUUAGG
rnacentral:lncRNA from 1 species